GACAUUUAAAUGAUAAUUUUAAAAAUUUCAAAUUCAGUGUUUAUUUUUUCAGUGCAUAGAAUUAUAGUAAGUAUGUAAAUAUAUGUGACCUUUUAUCCUGAGAACUUUUAAGAACUUUUAUCCUAAUCACUUUUUAGUUUUUUGUAGAUGAUUUUAGAUUUUUCUACCUAGAAAAAUCAUAUCAUCUGUGAAUAAAGACAGUUUUAUUUCAUUCUUCCCAGAAUCAUGUCCUUUUUAUGCCCUUUUAAUCAUGUCUUGUUGCAAUGGUUAGGACUUCCAAUAUGAUAUUGAAUAGGAGCUAUAAAAGAGAAUAUCUUGUAUUUGUUCUCAUGGUAUGGGAAGAACAUUUAAUUUUUCACCAUUAAAAUUGAUGUUAGCUGAUGUUUAUUCUUAUUCUCUCUCUCUCCCCAACUUUAAUUUUUGUAAAUGUUUCUUAUCAGGCUAACUAAUUUCAUUCUUAAGUUACCGAGGUUUUUUUUUUUUUAAAGGAUGUGGAUUUUAUCAAAUACUUUUCCUGUAAUUAUUGAGAUAGUCAUAUAGAUUUUCUCUUUCAUCUGUUAAAAUGAUGAAUACAUUGAUUUUCAAAUUUUGAGGACUACUUUAAUUUAGUUCCUGUAUUCGAGGUGUCCUGGAUCUUACAGUAAGUAUAAGUUUGAGUAAGUUACAGUAAGUGUAAGUGUUAAGCAUUCAGGAUCAGCCAAUGGUUAGAGCUUCUCACGGAAAACUUCCCUGUGUUCUAUGGAGCUAUGUCAGACACAGAUCUUUUUGUUUUCCUGAUGAAGAUAGAUUUUGUUUCCCCCCAAGCCCACCUUUUUUACUGAAAGUAAAAUCACUUUCAGGGUAUGCAACUUUACGCAGAGUUCUCAAGUUCAGGUACCUGUCAGGAGUUGGCACAAGUGUCAUUACACACUGAUGUCUGAUUUUAUUUUAUUUUCCAGGCAUUUGCUCCUAGAGCAUUAUUGGUUUCCAAGAUCUUUUAUCAUUCUGAUUUAAUAAUCUAGGUUUAUCUUUUUUAAAUUCCUGGGAUUUUUUUUCUUAGAUUAUUGAAAAUGUUAUGAUGCAAUUUAAGUAUGUUUCUCAGACUUUGGCAUUUUGGUGUUUUUCAGUUGGAUAUCUUUUCAGAAGAUUUAAACUACUGACUGUCAAGAGUGAUUGCCCUGUGUCUGCCUUGGAUAUUCUGAAGAUCCCAGUCAAUUGCCUCUGCCAAGAAUGUAACUUUUCUUUUUUCGCUAGAGAAUUCUUUGGCAUAAGAAACCCAAAGCGUCCAGGUAGCUAUUAUAGCUGAAAGCUCAAUGAGAUUCUUGCUGUGACUCCUAUAGGAAGUAUCGGCCUCUUUUUGGGAACCAAGACUUGUAAACCUGCAGAGGCCAGAGUUGUAAUAGACAAGAAGCCCAAAUUCUUAAGUGGGAUACUGGAAGUAAUGAUGAGCAGGACCACUCCUUCCACCCUUUGCUCCUGUGUUUUCUACCUGUUGGAGACCUGGAAUCAUUCAAUAAUCACUGAUUGAUAUGGUUUGGCUGUGCCCCACCCAAAAUCAUCUUGAAUUGUGAGCCCCGUAAUCCUCAUAAUCCCCAUGUCAAGGGCGGGACCAGGUGAAGGAAAUUAGAUCAUGGGGAUGCUUUCCCCCAUGCUGUUCUCAUGAUAGUGAGUCUCAUGAGAUCUGAUGGUUUUAUAAGCAUCUGGAAUUUCCCCUGCUUGCUCUCACUCUGUCCUGCUGCCCUAUGAAGAAGAUACCUGCUUCUCCUUUGCCUCCUGCCAUAAUUGUAAGUUUCCUGAGGCAUCCCCAGCAAUGCAUAAUUGUGAGUCAAUUAAACCUCUUUCCUUUGUAAAUUAUCCAGUCUUGGGUAUUUCUUCAUAGUAGUAUGAGAACAGACUAAUAUAUAGGGUAUAUGUUCCACCCUAGAGAAUGGUGCCUCCCUUGGUAGAUACCUCUGAGUUGAUACCUUAGCUAUGUUCUCAACAGACCAUUUCAUUACUCUAUUAAGACAGUAGUAGCUUCUGGGUGAUGUGGAAUAUGAUAUUACCAGGGAAUUUGUGGUCAGGUACAGACUUAUGAACCUCUUUUGUGUAAAGUGGGCCGCUUAGUCUAGUUCAAAGACUUGUGGGGGCCUGUGCCGCUGGGCUCAUAGAUAGCUUCCAUCUCUGCCACCAGGUAACUCGGUUCACAUGCUCACUUUGCCAGCAUCAGCAUGGCCAAGGGCAGAUGCUCUCUGACAUUCACUGGCCACAUUAUUUUUUUGUACUUGGCUUCUUCAUGCACCUUACAUGCUAGACGCUUUCUGGCAGGCGAUACCAUGCAGUCAAAGAUCUCUACAUUUCAUGCCCACUCCUGCAGGCCAAUCCACAGACCUCUUCCCAGAACUCCUUGUCUCUAAUCUAAUCUUUUUCCUUCCAGACUCUAGACCAUCUGGCCAACUCAUUUGCCACUGACUAUAAAUCUGUAUAUAUUCUUAUCUCAGAUUUUGCUCACUAAAUGAAUGAUCAGACUCACUGCUUGAGGCUUUGCCCAUUGGGAGGACUUCCUGGACUACAGCAUUUCUUUCUAAGCCAACCCUGAAUAGGGCAGCAGAGAAGGUGCUGUCCAUUGUUGGUUUGCACCCAUAUACUGAGCCAACCCAUUAGCUUUCUUUCCUCCUCCUUCCUAUCAGUUACUCAUAAAAGUUCCCGUAAUUGCACUAGGCUGCUGGUAAGUUACAUACAUCCCUUGACUUGCUGUAAUGGGACUGUCUUCUCCAGAAUAUAAGCUCCUAUAAGAGAGAUUUGUUUGGUUCACUGAUAUAUCCCCAAUUAUUAUGCAGCACCUGGCUCAAUAAAUAUUGGUUGAAAGGAUAACUGUUCUGAAUGGAAUAUUUUGUUCCCUUUUACUCCUCAGGAGCUUUCACUACCUGCUUCUAACCUGGAAACAACUUACUACUUAGUAUUUCUAUUUCCUUUGAUGUUCAUGUAGAUUUUUUAUAUGGAGUUCCACCUGUGUCUUUUGGUUUUCUCUCAUUAUACUUUAUUGUUGGUAUUUGGAAGGAGAGUGCACACAGCAGAAAAUUACUUCACAAUUUUUAUCAGAAGUUACUUUAUAACUUCUUUGGGGUGUUUUUUAUUUGUUAUUUUUCUUCCUUGGAAAGAUUAUUGUAUGAUAUAUUGGGAUUUGUAUCACCUUUUCCAUGAUUAUUUAAAUAUACUCAUUUUUUUUGCUCUUUUCAUCAUUUUCUGCUGACUUUUGGAAGGAAUGCUAACACUUAUCUAAUACACAGCUCUGUUUCAGUAGUAUUCAAUUUGCUGUUUCAUGACUUUGUUGAUCUUUUUGCUGUUUCAUGACUUUGAUCUUUUUAAAUACAGAAAUGGUGUAUUUAUGUCCUCCUGUCUUUACUGAUUUUAGUUUGUUCAUUUAUGAUUGUCUGGACUAGUUUCCUAAUUAUUUUCAUUGUAAAAUUAAUAUGUGCCUCACAUAUUUUCCAGGUGCAUAAAUGAAUUAUAUUAUUUGAAAUGCACAAUAAUCCUAUUUGGUAAAUAUUAACACCCCAAUUUACAAGUUGAAAAAUUGAGACAGGACAGUUUUAGUGAUUUACUGAUGAUCAUAAGUAGCAGAGCUGAGCUUUAAACUUGUUAAAGCACACAGAGUCGUAACCACUACUCUACAUUGCCUGGAAGUAAGUAGUCACUUCUUUUGAUUUUCUUGAGAAAAUAGAUUAGAAAAUGGCUCAGUUGUUCUGUUUCCUGCAGCAAGGAUUUGGUAGAAGACUUUCAUGUUGAUUCCUCUGUAUGCUCCCUUGUCUUUGGACUUCAACACCUUUUCACAUAUCUAUGACCUGCCCCCUCCAAAGUUAUAUCCAUGGCUAGUGUUGCAAGCCAGUUUGGUUUUUCUCUCGGCUAUUGUGACCCCUGUUCAAAUACUCCAGACCUUGUAGACUGGGGAAGAAGGAAUCUGUGGGUUUAUUCUGGUCUUGUGUCAUACUUCAGACAUCCGGCAACUUGUGGAGAAAAGUGGGAAAUAAGAAUGGAAGAGUUGCAACCAAGAGGUCACCUUCUCUGCUCAAGGGUCUCUUUUCCACAUUUGACAUGGCAGCUGUAGUCUUUACCCAGCCCAACUGGUGGGUAAAGACUUUACAGGGCCCCUCUAACUGUGCAAUAGGGACUCCUAUUGCAAAUGAAAAUUGAGUAAGCAUCACUUUGGGUUUCCAGUUAGAUAUGUACUGUGCUGCCCGGCAUAUCUCCCAGGCAUAUCUCCCAGGUCUGAUGAGACUGAGAGGAAGUUCCCAAUUGACCCACAGCCUACACUUAUUUAAGAUUUUGCCUGUCUAAUUAGGGAAGGCUGGUGGAGUUUCACCACAGAGCCUCUGAGGCAAACCAUGACUUUUCAUGCAGGCAGUACAUCAUCAGGAUAGUCCUCAUCUUUGAUUCAGUUUCAUUUGCAGAAAUAUCCAAAAGUUUCAGGUGUGAAUCUAGAGUAUCUACUAUCCAGCAAAUAAUAUAGUUUGUCCUCUUUUUUUUUUUUAAUUCCGCUUUAAUAGGAAUCAAGAAAAGUUGUCUAGAAGAGUUAGAUACAUUUACUCAAAUUCGCUCUUUUACUCAGAAUUCUAAGUUACCAUUAGGUGAAAAUUACACUAUAACUUUUGAAAUUUUCCAGAUGCGGUGUUCUCAAGUUUCCAGUUAAUAGUUGCAUCCAUGUGAUGAGAGAGGACUUUGAGUUUUGGCAAGGCCCUUGCAAACACUGUUCAUAGAACUCCUGUAAAUUCAACAGAAGGCAUGAUUAGGAGGGUUUACUCCUGGCAGAUGUGGGGUCUUAGCAGAAGCACAGAAGGAAGAAGCUAGCUUCAACUGUCUGAAACUGGCUGUGUUGGAAAGGCUGUGCUGAGAUGAGCAAUCUAUUUAGAAUGACUGCUGCUCAUCUUUUUAACAAGAUAAUCAUCUGACAGCAACAUGGAAAAGCAGAUGUAGCAUUUUAAGGGAUAUACGGCUUUUUGAACUCCACAUGCUUUCAAACUCUGAUAUUAUUUCCAAUGAACCCUAAAGUCAAAGGAAUAAUCACUUUGAAAUUCUUGCACAAUGGGAAGCCCUGAAGGAAGCUGAACAUCUGAUUUUCACUAAAGGAGAAUCCUGAAAGCAAAGCAUCCUAUAAAUUGGAAUUUUUGCUUCCUCUGUUGUCUUCCAUAGGGUCUCUUGCCGCUUUGCUAAAUAUCAAAGAUAUUUAUGCUUAAACAAAUGUUGUCUCCCUCUCACUGCAUUCCCUCCUUCUGGCAGAGAAGUCAUCACACUGAAUCGGUGGCUCUUUCCCAUGGCAACAGACUGUGAUGUCAGAAAUGUGGUGCCAAGCAAUUAGAUUUUGUAGGUGCCACAGUUGGAAACAUGAAACUCCAAGGAUGAUGGUGAGACAGAGCAGUUGUUGUAGAAGAAAAAACUCAGGAAGGACUGAGUGUCUAAUGUGUUCUCUCAAAGGCCUGUUGCUGAAGGAGGGUGGCAGCAAAUGAAGUCGGAGAGGGGAAGAGGGAUACAGUGUUCAAGACAAGAUUUCAAAGGAGAAGCAAGUUGAUGAUGGAGAGUUGCAAAAGGCCACGUCCAGAUGGCUGGCACUCUGCCACGUGCCGUGGCUUUGAUGCUUUACAGGUGUUCUCUAAGGCGUCGAAGGCGGAAGCUCCAGGGACCUGCUGUCUGUCAUUGAAACAGCCAGAGGACUCAGGACCCAGAGAAAGAGCAAACUCCCUCUCCUUUCAUUCCCUUCCGCUCUUGUAGGAAUGUGGGAACUUUCACAGUUUUGCUGUUUUCAAGAAAACGGCACCUUGACAACAUGACCUUUGAGACCUACAAGCUGAGGGAGCUGUAGGGAGAAGGAUGAUCUGAGAUGGGCAACAAAAACCUUCCAAGAGGAGGCAAUGGGUGAGGACCCUUCAUGUUGCCAAUAGGAGCGAUCUGGGAAUAUUUUGAAAUGGACUUUUAAAAAAGCUGAGUCUGUUUUUUGGAGGUUCUUUGUCAAAUACACAAGAGAAUGAAACCCAUACCUGUGAAAAAUCAUAGAUGAAGUUUUAAAAUACACAUUUCAGUGAUACAGUAUGGAUAAAUUUGGACUGCAUAUGGCUUCUUAUGUAAAAGAAAAUUUCUUCUCCUUUUAGUAACACAUUGUCGGCUGCCUGUGCUUUGCACCUUCUGCCAUAAGCUCCUUAAAACAAGCUGCUGCAAUUCAAGAACUAGCCCUAGUAAUUAAGAUCAAAUGAGCCAGAUGAAGAAAAUGAGCUGGGUGAAACACAUGCCAGUGGAACCCAGCCUUUUCAUAUUUAAAAAGAGAGCCAGAAAAGAAAGAAAAACAGCUAUUUGUCGAUGGACUAUGUGGAGGAUUUAGAUGCAGUCUCUACUCAGGAUUAUUGUUAACAUUUAUACGUAUAUUUUAAAUGAUUCUGGGCUUGAUUGAUUAGCUCUUGUGAAAUACAGUGGAUGUGGGCCGGGCAUGGUGGCUCACGCCUGUAAUCCCAGCACUUUGG
rnacentral:lncRNA from 1 species